rnacentral:rRNA from 1 species
AGCAGCCGCGGUAAUUCCAGCUCCAAUAGCGUAUAUUAAAGUUGUUGCAGUUAAAAAGCUCGUAGUUGAAUUUCGGGAUCAGUACGCUGGUCGUGCCUUUGGUAUGUACUGGUGUCACUGAUUCCUCCCUUCUGAAGAACCGUUAUGCCAUUUAUUUGGUGUGGCGGGGAAUCAGGACUGUUACUUUGAAAAAAUCAGAGUGUUUAAAGCAGGCUCGCGCUUGAAUACAUUAGCAUGGAAUAAUGAAAUAGGACGUUUGAUCUUAUUUUGUUGGUUUCUAGGAUCGACGUAAUGAUUAAUAGGGAUAGUUGGGGGCAUUAGUAUUCAAUUGUCAGAGGUGAAAUUCUUGGAUUUAUUGAAGACUAACUACUGCGAAAGCAUUUGCCAAGGAUGUUUUCAUUAAUCAAGAACGAAAGUUAGGGGAUCGAAGACGAUCAGAUACCGUCGUAGUCUUAACCAUAAACUAUGCCGACUAGGGAUCGGAUGAUGUUAUUUUUAAUGA